GACGAACGCUGGCGGUGUGCCUAAUACAUGCAAGUAGGACGCAGUUGCGAACGGGUGAGUAACGCGUAGGUAACUGCCUAUUAGAGGGGGAGAACUAUUGGAAACGAUAGCUAAUACCGCAUACUAGUAGAUGGACCUGCGUUGUAUUAGCUAGUAAGUAGGGUAAUGGCCUACCUAGGCGACGAUACAUAGCCGAGUGGGGAGGGGGAUCGGGCAAACUGGGGCGGGGACAAGGCCCAGGAUCCGAAGGGAGGGAAGAAGAGGGAAACUUUGGAAAUGGGGGGAAACCUGAACGAGGAAAGGCGCGGGGGAGAAGGAGGGUUUCAGAUUGGAAAAGUCUGUUGAUAAGGGAGCGGUACUUACCCAGAAAGGGACGGCUAACUACGUGCCAGCAGCCGCGGUAAUUC
rnacentral:rRNA from 1 species